rfam:Bacteroides coprocola DSM 17136 Scfld_02_3 genomic scaffold, whole genome shotgun sequence.
AAACUCCGUACAUGGGUUGAACAUCCGAAAGGUUUUCAAACGCUUGCUGUUAUGCGUGGUUAGCCCUAAAUACGGAGUUUUA